UAUACAUAGGGGUUCGAUUCCCUUAGAGUGUG
rnacentral:tRNA from 1 species